rnacentral:lncRNA from 1 species
GUAGUUAAACGUCAAGUGACAACUAUUUCAUUCAUGUGCACAAAUCUCUUGACAAAUCUGACGAAUUUGACGAGAUUGUUGGUAGUUUCACCACAUCGUACAUAUCAGGACACUAUACCUGUACAGUUUUCAUCAGAAUGUUCUGCAGAAAAAGAAUAGUAAAUCCAAUCCAAACAAGUAGAAUAACAAUGAAAUAUCCAUGCAUGUUUAAAUGCAUAAGUAAAAAUAAGGAAGAGACAGGUAAAAAACGGGGAACCAAGUAACGUCGACAAAGAUGUUGAUAUCCCAUGAUAUAAGAAUGUUGUUCCGAUGCGUUGGAUAACCUUUCUCUCCGCCUUCUAAUUAAAAUAAUAUGAUAGCUCUAUGUUAUUGACUAAUGUA